GAAACUCAAAGGAAUUGACGGGGCCCGCACAAGCGGCGGAGCAUGUGGAUUAAUUCGAUGCAACGCGAAGAACCUUACCUGGGCUUGACAUACACCAGAUCGGCGCAGAGAUGCGUUUUCCCCUUGUGGUUGGUGUACAGGUGGUGCAUGGUUGUCGUCAGCUCGUGUCGUGAGAUGUUGGGUUAAGUCCCGCAACGAGCGCAACCCUUGUCUUAUGUUGCCAGCACGUGAUGGUGGGGACUCAUGAGAGACUGCCGGGGUUAACUCGGAGGAAGGUGGGGAUGACGUCAAAUCAUCAUGCCCCUUAUGUCCAGGGCUUCACACAUGCUACAAUGGUCGGUACAACGCGUGUGCGACACUGUGAGGUGAAGCUAAUCGCUCUAAAGCCGGUCGUAGUUCGGAUUGGGGUCUGCAACUCGACCCCAUGAAGUCGGAGUCGCUAGUAAUCGCAGAUCAGCAACGCUGCGGUGAAUACGUUCCCGGGCCUU
rnacentral:rRNA from 1 species